rnacentral:rRNA from 1 species
UACGUAGGGUGCGAGCGUUAAUCGGAAUUACUGGGCGUAAAGGGCUCGUAGGCGGCCAACUAAGUCAGACGUGAAAUCCCUCGGCUUAACCGGGGAACUGCGUCUGAUACUGGAUGGCUUGAGUGUGGGAGAGGGAUGCGGAAUUCCAGGUGUAGCGGUGAAAUGCGUAGAUAUCUGGAGGAACACCGGUGGCGAAGGCGGCAUCCUGGACCACGACUGACGCUGAGGAGCGAAAGCCAGGGGAGCAAACGGG